UCUAUUUAAAAAAAAAAAAUCACACAUGAAAAGAAGUCAUGACUUCUGUUUUAAUAUAAUAGAUGAUUUUUUGUAUUAUUAUUUAUUUUGAGGUAUUUACAUAUUAUAAUAUAAUAAAUAUAUAUUAAAUCUUUGAGGAAUUAAUAAUUAUCACGUAUAUAAUUAAAUUAGCAAUCACAUGAAUCAAAACAAUCACUAUUGUUAACCAAGCGGGGACGGCUCAGUAGUCUUAAUGGAGCUUUGGCCUCAAUACAGAUCCGGGUUCGAGUUAUGCUAGCCACCGUCGAUUAAAAUGAGGUGAAAAAGACGGCCCUCCAGAAUACCUUCUGCGGAGGUGUACUUAGGCGCUAGUCGGAUUCCCUAUGGGGUUUCCGGAUUACCUGAAUUAUCAAAAAAAAGACACAAUUACUAUUAUUUAUUUACAAUCACUCUAUAUAAGCAAAUCCAAACCAUCUUUUUGUAUAUUUUAUGUGAUAUAUAAUUAAAGUUUAAAUGAUAUAAACAUAGAUAUAUAUUCUAUUUUUUGGCUAUCUAUUAAAUGAGGUUUCAUACUCAUAUGGUUUCAUAAUUGUUUGUGUAUUUUUAUAAUAAAAUUUUUAAAUCAGUGAUUACAUAAUUUUCAGUGUGGUAUGUUUAAUACUUAUAGUAAUUCAUAAUCAUUUUUAAAAUUUUAAUGCAAAAUUGAAAAUUAAAAUAUUAAGUUUCCAAUAUUUUUUCUCAGAUUUUGAAAUUAAAAUAUUUAUGCAUUUUUAGAUGGUAUAUAGUUUAAGUUAAACUUAUUAAGAAUAUAUAUAUAUAUAAUCUGAAUAUCUAUUAAACUAAACUUCGAACUUAUAUGAUUUUAUAAUUUUUUAUAUCUUGUUAUAACAAAAAAAUUUAAACUAUUAAUCACAAAAUAUUCUAUGUAGAAUUUUUAACGUUUCAUUAAUUUAUAGUAGUCUUUAAAAAUUCAAAAUAUAGCAUACAUGAAAGAGAGGUUAAACAAAUUUUACGAAAAAAUCUAUUUUUUAUUAUAUAGUUAACAUGAUUGAUUAAUUUAUUUUACAAUAUAAAACUAAACAAAAAAAGAGAGGUUAAACAAAUUUUUAUCAAAUCUUUCUUAUUCAAAAUCAUUAGUUUUCAUAUAUGUUUUAAUCACAUUAGUUAAUUGGCAGUUUUCUCAAGUAAUCAUUUUUAAGUUUUUAUCACAAAAAUAGUCUUCAAUGAAAAACUGACCAAAAUAGCUUUUUUAUUUUAAAAUUUUUAUUAUAUAUAUUUUUAAAAAAUUUGGAACCCUAUCCUCAAAACUUUACCCCUUAACUCUAAACUCUAAAUCUAGAUUAGUUAACCCUAGGAUAUAAAUGUAUAUUUAUCCUUUAAUAAAACUUAUUUUGGUCAUUUUCUUCCUCGUGAGUUAUUUUUGUGAAAAUAAACUAAAAGACAUAUCCUAGCGAAUUUCUCUUAGUUGUUAAUUCUGUAACUUUUAUUUAAUAAAGAAAAAAAAGAACAUUAAUAUAUAAUAGUUUGUGGUUAGUUUAAUAAUAUGUCUAUAUAGACCAACUUAUUUCUCUAAAACUUCUAAAAAUCAUUCUAUCGAUAAUACAUGUCAUAGUUCAAAAAUUGUAAUGUUCUCAAAUAAUAUAUAUAAGGGAUAUUCGGUAAAUUCUACCGGACAUCACUUCAAGUUAAAGUCUGCUAACUAAUUUUUUAUUAAAUGUUCAACAUUUCUGUCAAUUACAUUAGAGAUUAUAUUUCUUAUGAUACAUUAGAGGUUAUAUGUGACAUGGAGAGAGAUUUCACAGUAGACUAAAUCGGGAGGCGAAAGUUGGGCAAGUGCUGAUCGGGUGUCGGUUGGACAGUAGACUUGGGUUGUUAAAUGUUUAUGGUGUUUAUGGAUUCUCACUUAAUGUUAAAUGAUAUUAGUUUAUUCCUUGUGGUUGCUUUGUUUAGGCUCUGGAUAUUUUCACAUGCACCAUAUUUAAUAAUAACAAAAAAAUUUACAUUUUUUUAAACAAUUCUUUUACAUAUAUUUAUGUAUUUAUAUAUUCUAUUUACAAUUAAAACUGCAGGCAGUUGUCUCGCAUCAUGUUACCAUUCUGAACCAUAGUUUGAGAUGAGUUUUUUUUUUUUUUAAUUCUAGUCAAAUCAUAGAUUACAUGAUCAUAUAAUAUAUAUUAUAUUACAUAUAAUAAUCAACUACCUGUAACAAAUGUGAACAUGAUGAACAGUUUUACGAACAUCGAUUCCAUGAUGUAAUUUUAUAACACGUUGAUCGUCAGACGGUUCUGCAUGUACGACAUUUUCGAUAGACAAGUUUUUUUUGCAGCGCAUGAGCAUAAUAAACGGUGAUACAACAUUUUGAAAUUUUAAAAAAAAAAUAGAUUGUAUAAUCUGCAAGAAAUUACGUUUUUUCUUUUUCUUAAAAUUGAACUUCAAACUUUGAUGUAUUAACCUUUGAAUCCUGAUCACUAGACCACGACAUUUUCACAGUAAUCUAAAAAGAAAAAAAAAAAGACUUGUCCGAAGAGUGAUAAGAUUAUAAGUCUGGAUAUAAUGCAAAACGUUUGGGUACUGUGGAUCCGGGGACAUGUGUUUACAUGUUGUUGUCCCAUGUUAUUCUUAUCUCUUUACGUAUUUUAUAGAUUGAUAUGGUCAACAUCGAUGACAGCUUCCACCGACACCAAUCCAAUGUAACGUCUAUCUUCAUGGUUUAUUAUGGCUUGAUUUUCGAAAAAGCAUUGCCAUCUUCAUUUUUGAUUAAAUGUUCUGUAACAUGUCAAAUCCAAUAAAUCAGAUUAUUUUUAAUUAUUUUCUUUUUUUCUUUUGAGAAAGUUUUAAUUAUUUCUUGGUCUAAUUUUAACUAAUAAUAAAGAAAUUAUAAAAAAAAAAUUUACAGAAAUUUUAUUUUGAUAAUUUUAAAAAUUCAAUUAUUUUUCCAUUGUUUUGUUCUAUCUAAAAAGCUUCAUCUCUUCUUUUUCUCCAAUAAACCAAAAUAAUGUUUUCUUUACAACUAUUUACGGUUGAAUUAAUAGACGAUCAGACUUUUUUCCCGUAAUGAAAAAGAAAAACUACAAAGAAACAAAGAGAGACAAAGACGGCAUAUACAAGGAUAGACGUCCUGCAGCUAUGCAAACCAAAAUGUGACUACCGAAGAGAAGCUAAAUCGAAUUUGACCUAAAAAGAGAGAAAAGUAUUUACUUGAGCUUUUAAAUUCAGUUGUCUUAUGUCUCCACUCUCCAAAAGACCAUAUUUUAAUCGCUUUUAUUUUUAAUAAAUUUAAAAUUUAUUCAACUUGUGACACAUCAAGUGCAUCUGUUCUUGAUUCCUCUAAAGAAUCAAAUAAAUGAAUCUAAGAAAUCAAUGGAAUAAUCUGUUUAGUCUUCAUGUCUGGGCAUGCACGUGUCUCAAACCAAGUAAUUAGAGCCUCGUCAAGGUAUUUCUAGCCCUUUCCUUGUACUGAUAGAAAUUGUACGGAAUGAAAUCGACACUUUUCUAUUAUCCGACUAAACAUGGUUUAACGGUUGACUAACGAUAAGUUAGUCAAGGUAGAAUUUCAUGUUACGGAAUCAAUUUAAAAAUAAUUUUGCACUUAUAUUUUGUUUGGAUCUAAAAAGGCACAAGACAAAUAGUUGGAAUCUAAAAAGGCCACUUUCCCCUUUACCAACUUGUAACCGUUUCGAUUCUCUCAAAUAAUAAGUGAUAUAUAAUUAUAUUUGAUAGGAGCUGCUAAAAAAAUGUUUUUUGAUAGAAACAAACAAUAGUACUGUAACUAAAAUUGAUGAGAUGACCCUCAGUAUGAAGUAUUAUAUCAAUAAUACUUGUAAUUAUUUUCUUAAAUAUAUAAAAAUAUAAAUAUGUUAAUAAUCGAAUGCAUUUCUAUAUUAAGUAUUAGAGCAUCUUCAAUGUAAACUCUACUUUUUUUUCUUCAAAAUAGAGUAAAAUGGAAUAUAGAGUAAACAUGCUCUAACACUAUUUUAUUUUUUACUAUAUAAUAGAAUAAUAAAUAAAUAAAAAAUUGAUUACUCUAUGGAGUAAAUCCCAUUAUAAAAUGAAAGUUCGAAUAGGAUUAGGAUUGAAGUAUUUCUUACUACAUACUUCUUUUUACUCAAUUUUGAAGAAAAAAAUAGAAUGAAUUAAAAAUGCUCUUAUGGUUGGAGUUACAACAUUCUCAGAAAAUGAUUCUUUAGAAAUGACCUUUCUUUCAACCUAGUCAAUCCAAGAAGUAAGUAACAUGGAGAGUGAUUUUCAUGUUACUGAACAAAUAGAUGGAUUUGGAAGCAUGACAAGAAGGGGUUGGGUUGAUAAAACCGACACAAAAAUACUAAGAUAUGAGAUGAAUGACAAUUUGUAGCAAAGGAAAACGAGGCCGUAGAGGUUGAAGUUCCUAUCAAGCGCAAUAAUAUCUUACCUAGUUUGGUUUAACGUGAAAUCUCUAUAAAUUAAUAAUGUUGAGAUUACACCCAAAAUAUAAUUUUUUUAUUAAUUUAUAGAGUUAUUAAUUUAUCGAUAUAGUAAUUGAACCAAAAAUUUAAUUUGGGACUAUAAAAUUAUUUUAUUUUAUAGAGAUUUUUAGUAUAUAUUAAUUUAUAGAUUAUUAAUUUAAAAAGGUUAUACUGUACUAAGUUUUCUUACUUAUAUAGCUUUUUCUCUGUCUACUUCAUAUAUCAAAUUUUCUUAGACUAUAUGAUCUAACAAGUCACAUCUUGUACUGUUUUAAAUUUAAUGAAAGUAUUUUUACAAAAAAAAUCCAACACGUUUUAAACAUGCAUAUUUUAAUUAUUUGUAGUUUUUUUUGCUGGAACAUUUUAUGAUUUAUAGCUGGUUAGUCAUUUAAAAAUAAACUUUGACAAAAAGAAAAGAAGUCAUUUAAAAUAAACAUUUUACGAUCAUUGACGAAAUUAUCCUCAAGAAUCAAUAUAUAUGACGUAAUAUAUCAUAAAUGGGUAAAACUAUUUUGUUAGACAUGUAACUAUAAUGAAUUGUUUAUUUACUUUACUGAAUGAAUCUUACUAUUUUUUUGGAUAACCUAGUUAUUUGGCAGAUUUGAGACUCAACCGACUAAUUUUUAGAGGCUUUUUCAUCAGCGCUAAACAUUUCUGGUUAUUCCAAUAGAAGUUUAAUAUUCAUUUCGCUUAAUCACAUAAAAGAACAUAUCUAAGAUGAUAAAUUUCAUCCGAAUUACUUUUUUCAUCCAAAGUAUUUAACACCUUUUCAAAUCCACCGUAUAUAUAACUCGACGACGCUGGUUAGGAUCUUAGUCUUUUUUUUAUUUUGAAUUUAUGGUUGUUAGGAAUCUAUCAGAUAAUUCAACAUGCAUAAAAUGUUUUUUCGGUGGAAAAGUCACCUGUUCCGCAUUCAAAGAUCAAAGUCAAAUAUUAAAACAGUUGUGCUGCGUUCAGACAAAAAAUAUAUGUGAUGCAUUUUUCCGUUUACUUUAAUUUUAUACCCAAUUGCCAGUUACUAAUUUAUCUCGAUUCUUCUAUCAUUUAUUUAAAAGUUGAAACAUUUUUCUUUACAUUGAUGCUCAAUGUUUCCACUCUCCGAGACGUCAUUUGCAACAUGUUCGGUUUUGUAUGACUGUAUCUAAAGGUAUAAAGGCAAGAACUUUCAAAUAGUAGACAUCAGUCGGAGUAUUAGGAAAAGACUCGAUCUGGUCAUUAAUAUCUACAAUCAAAUUAACAGAAAAUACCCUACACUUGUUCACACCCAAAUCAACCAAAGUAA